rnacentral:lncRNA from 1 species
AAAACUUAGAAGGUCAAAGACACGGAAGAGAACAAAUGGUUCUAAUUAAGAUGUAAUUAAUGAAGAUCAGCUAUUUUUGUGAACUCUGGCAUUUGAGAUAUAAAGUGAAAACAACACGCAUAAAGGUCAUAACAGUUAAACUGUAUAGAUUCAAAUCUUACUGAAUUUUUCAAAAAACUACUUUUUUGAGCGCAAUGUAUAUAAACAAAAACUCCAAAUGAAGCACACAAAAAAUAAACUUGAAAAAAAUGCUAUGAAAAACUUUUCCAUAGUUUAGUAUAACAAAAAUAAAUCUCUUGCAGCAAUAAAACCAUAAUUUUAAAAGGGAAUGU